CAGUAGCCACGGUAAUACAGAGGAUGCAAGCGUUGUCCGGAAUUAUUGGGCGUAAAGGGCUCGCAGGCGGUUUCUUAAGUCUGAUGUGAAAGCCCCCGGCUCAACCGGGGAGGGUCAUUGGAAACUGGGAAACUUGAGUGCAGAAGAGGAGAGUGGAAUUCCAUGUGUAGCGGUGAAAUGCGUUGAGAUCGGAGAGAACACCAACGGCGAAAGCACUCUGCUGGGCCGACACUGACACUGAGAGACGAAAGCUAGGGGAGCAAAUGGGAUUAGAGACCCCUGUAGUCCCUGUCUCUUAUAC
rnacentral:rRNA from 1 species